rnacentral:rRNA from 1 species
UACGAAGGGUGCAAGCGUUACUCGGAAUUACUGGGCGUAAAGCGUGCGUAGGUGGUUUGUUAAGUCUGUUGUGAAAGCCCCGGGCUCAACCUGGGAAUGGCAAUGGAUACUGGCAAGCUAGAGUGCGGUAGAGGGUAGUGGAAUUCCCGGUGUAGCGGUGAAAUGCGUACGAGAUCGGGAGGAACACCAGUGGGCGAAGGCGGCUACCUGGACCAGCACUGACACUGAGGCACGAAAGCGUGGGGAGCAAACAGG